rnacentral:rRNA from 1 species
GACGAACGCUGGCGGCGUGCCUAACACAUGCAAGUCGAACGGAACUGUUUUGAAAGAUUUCUUCGGAAUGAAUUUGAUUUAGUUUAGUGGCGGACGGGUGAGUAACGCGUGAGUAACCUGCCUUCAAGAGGGGGAUGACAUUCUGAAAAGAAUGCUAAUACCGCAUGACAUAUCGGAACCACAUGGUUCUGAUAUCAAAGAUUUUAUCGCUUGAAGAUGGACUCGCGUCCGAUUAGUUAGUUGGUGAGGUAACGGCUCACCAAGACCGCGAUCGGUAGCCGGACUGAGAGGUUGAACGGCCACAUUGGGACUGAGACACGGCCCAGACUCCUACGGGAGGCAGCAGUGGGGGAUAUUGCGCAAUGGGGGCAACCCUGACGCAGCAACGCCGCGUGAAGGAUGAAGGUUUUCGGAUUGUAAACUUCUUUUAUUAAGGACGAAAAUUGACGGUACUUAAUGAAUAAGCUCCGGCUAACUACGUGCCAGCAGCCGCGGUAAUACGUAGGGAGCAAGCGUUGUCCGGAUUUACUGGGUGUAAAGGGUGCGUAGGCGGCUUUGCAAGUCAGAUGUGAAAUCUAUGGGCUCAACCCAUAAACUGCAUUUGAAACUGUAGAGCUUGAGUGAAGUAGAGGCAGGUGGAAUUCCCCGUGUAGCGGUGAAAUGCGUAGAGAUGGGGAGGAACACCAGUGGCGAAGGCGGCCUGCUGGGCUUUAACUGACGCUGAGGCACGAAAGCGUGGGUAGCAAACAGGAUUAGAUACCCUGGUAGUCCACGCUGUAAACGA